rnacentral:rRNA from 1 species
CCCGAAAGAUCGAAUGAGGAGAUUCAUCGUCAGCGGUGCAGGCUUCCAUGUGGCUCGCGAUGAAAAUGAAAUUUAUUUCAAAUUCACGUGUCCGCUGUGGUAUGUGUCCGGCAACGUCGGCGUGCACUUCUCCUCUAGUAGAAUGUCGCGACCCGCUGGGUGUCGGUUUAAGGACCAAGGUCGUCGACUGUUCCGUCGCGUCUCGUGCGCGUUCGGUUACAGACGCUUGGAUUCCCGACCGGCUGCCCGGCGGUAUAACUGCCAAGGUAUCGAGCCGCACUUGAAUGCGUUCUUCGGACCCGUCACAAGCUCGACCCGCUUUGAAUGUACUUUUUCCGGAUGUGCGGACCUAGCGCCGUACCCGGAGUUGGUUGGCUGUUGGUAGACGGAGUCCUCGAACUGGCUUAACCUCGUUGUUAAUUUAACGAUACCGGUCAGCGACGCUAUUGCUUUGGGUACUUUCAGGACCCGUCUUGAAACACGGACCAAGGAGUCUAACAUGUGCGCGAGUCAUUGGGAUGAUAAAACCUAAAGGCGCAUUGAAAGAGAAGACCGGCCUCGCGCCGGUUGAGGGAGGAUGGGCGGCGUUUCUGAUGUCGCCCCGCACUCCCGGGGCGUUUCAAUGAGUCAUCGCGACUCGAGGCGCACCCAGAGCGUACACGUUGGGACCCGGAAAGAUGGUGAACUAUGCCUGGUCAGGACGAAGUCAGGGGAAACCCUGAUGGAGGUCCGUAGCGAUUCUGACGUGCAAAUCGAUCGUCGGAACUGGGUAUAG